UCCCACCCCGCCGGUGCCGGCCUAGGCCGCGGUUUCUUCCUGCACCGCCGGGUUCUGGACGAACGAGUAGCCGGGCUGGACCACUCUCGGUCCCCUAACAGGUGGUCCAGUAGUGAAGAGCUUGGCUACUAACUAAAAGGUUGGCAGUUGGAAUCCACCAGCUGCUCCUUGGAAACGAUGUGGGGCAGUUCUACGCUGUCCUAUAGGGUCGCUGUGAGUCAAGACCGACUUGAUGGCAAUGGGUUUGGUUUUUUGUUUAGAUGAAGAUCUGAAGCCACCUUUUGGAUAGCUUGAUUUAAGAUUCGGAAGAUGACUGGAAGAAAGAACAACAAAAUCAAGAAUAAACCUAAAGAAAUACCCGUGUUUAACAGAAUGUUUUUAAGACUAUGUUUUUGAAUAAAGGAAUUUAAGGAAUCAAUAAAUUGUUUGGCUGUUUGAGAAGAGGAAAAAUCUUUUUUUUGCAUUUGUAAUAUCUUGUAUUUCCAUAUGUAAUUUGUCAAUAUUAAAACUCAAAUCGGAAUGAUUCCAUAUGCCCUGGAUAUGAUUUUUGAUUUUUUCCCAAUUAUGUAUGGUAGUAUUUACAGGCAGUGGAGUAACACAAAUCCAUUUGAAACUUACAUGGCAUCUCAAAGUAAGUCGCACUUUGAGAUUAGUGAUUUCUUGUCCUAUAUAUAGAAUUGCUUCUUCAAGGGCAUUAACUUCUUGUUGUAAUUUUCUAUCAAUGGCUUCUUGUGUGGCUAAGGCUAAAGUAAUAUUUUUACUUAAAUUAUUUACAUAGUUUGCAGUAUGAAUCUGUUGUGUUAACGCCAUAGCAGAAAGUGAAAGAGAAGUUGCUAAAGCUAUGAGAGCAGAAAUCCCCAGUAUUAAAGCUGCUACAAACCGUUUGGCUCGAGAUAAAAUAGCAGAAGCUUGUUUUAAGGCUUCUAGGCCUGAAUCAUCAUACCAAUCUUCUUGUAAAUGUACAGGAAUCAUAAUAUAUUUUGGCUGUUGUAAAAUCAUCAUACUUUCGACAGGAAUUGCAGGAUUUAUACAACUGGUCAGUAUACAAUUUUCACAAGAACUAACAUAAUGUGUUUUCUUGUUUUCUAUAACAAUACUAGAGUGAUUGUUGCGGCUAAUUAAUAACACAUAUGGAGCAGGUACACAAGCUUGAAUAUCAAAACUCUCAUUAUUAAAAGGACGGGACAAAGUGACAUUGCCGGCAGCAGUUGCCAGUCUCCACAAAGAUGGAUGUAUGUUACCCGUGAAGGUAGAAAGAAUAGGGGGAACCCAUCCAUUUA